rnacentral:rRNA from 1 species
UGGGGAAUAUUGGACAAUGGGCGAAAGCCUGAUCCAGCCAUGCCGCGUGUGUGAAGAAGGUCUUCGGAUUGUAAAGCACUUUAAGUUGGGAGGAAGGGCAGUAAGCGAAUACCUUGCUGUUUUGACGUUACCGACAGAAUAAGCACCGGCUAACUCUGUGCCAGCAGCCGCGGUAAUACAGAGGGUGCAAGCGUUAAUCGGAAUUACUGGGCGUAAAGCGCGCGUAGGUGGUUCGUUAAGUUGAAUGUGAAAGCCCCGGGCUCAACCUGGGAACUGCAUCCAAAACUGGCGAGCUAGAGUAGGGCAGAGGGUGGGGGAAUUUCCUGUGUAGCGGUGAAAUGCGUAGAUAUAGGAAGGAACACCAGUGGCGAAGGCGACCAACUGGGCUCAUACUGACACUGAGGUGCGAAAGCGUGGGGAGCAAACAGG